rnacentral:sRNA from 1 species
AUGGUUGAAUUAUAAUGUAUAUAU